GGUCAUGCUGAGGAAGCGGCACUUGAAUUUGCCAAGCUAGAUGACAUCACCUCCCGAUUUAAAUGUGCUACUGUUGGCAAAACUCCACCCCAAGGGGUUAGGCCAAGAGGACAUUAACAGACUGUCCAUGGCAGAAGUAGCCUCAUCAUCACCCGCAACGGUGCGUAAGCUGAGUCAAAGGAGCUGAGCGAGUGGAGAGCAGAGACGGUCGGCAGGGGACAGGGCAGGCAGAUAGGGGACGCGAGGACAAGGAGUACUUAUUUGGCAGAACACAGCAGAGUUGAUGUCAUUUUGAGGAACUUGUUUGCCUGGGGAUUAUGUGAUUAAUGAGCACCGCGGGGCUCACCAGGGCACAGAGCUGAGUUUGGAAUGACGGGGGACUUCAGGACCCGGCUGCAGUCACCACUGCAGUGCCAAGUAAAUCAAUGCCGAAUCUGUAGUAAAUGGACUAAUUAAUACACUUGGAGGGUUCAAAAGCCCUCUCCAGCUCUAGAGAAGUUAUGACCAUGAGAAACGAUUGUCUGAAAGUUGGCUUCAUUUUCUAAACGCCACCUAACUGUAAAUACCACAGUUGUUUUCUUAGUGAAGCAGAAAUCAGAGCGCACCGGCUUCCGCCUGCCUCUGCUGGUGGACUCCCUCCCUGCACCCUCCUGGCCGCAGGUGGCUGGCCUCCCCCUUGCAGCCUCUCCUGCCUGGGCUCCCCUCUCCUGUCCUCCCCCAGCCACUCUCUCAUGCCGACGUCCCAGCACCACUUCUCCAGGCGCGCCAACCCACAGCUCCUUUCUGAGUGGCGGAGCCGGGAGCAGAGCCGAGGGAGAAGGGGGAGCCAGAGCCAGGGGGAGACUUCAGGACAGGUUUUCCAGGAAAGCAGAGCUGACGGACCUCCAGAGAUCCAUGGAAGACUCCAAUCGCAGGAGCCCACUCAGGGACACCCAGGAGCUGUGUUUCUCCAGCUACCGUGGGCGCCAUCAACACCAGCCAAGUUGACACAUGAAAUUAAACAUUCUGCCAUUUUGACCAGCUUCCCAAGACCCAGCCACAAGAGGAGUCUGUGGUUUUGAAUCUUGGAGCUGCUGGGGAUGCAGGGAGCCUUGGACUCUGGGUAGAGGCUGCAGGGCUGGCCCUGGGUCCCUGCUGUGCUCCUAGGACACUGCCCAGAUUGGUGAGGUUGCAGGUCUGCAGAGUCUCCACACACCCCAUGCAGGGUCACCCUCUUCCCUCCACAUCCAAGGUCUGCAGAGCACCAGCCGUGCUGGGGGUGAACUAUGCCGUUCUAAAGAACCCCAAGCCUGCAGCUGACACUGCUCAGGCAGCCUCGGGCUUACCCAGUCCAAAGAGCUGGACGACCCGGAGCAAGGCCUACUGGACCCACCGCCAGCCCGCACUCCCCAACCCGGGCUGCUCAGGCCCACAGAGCGCCCUCAGUAGUCGGGACAGCUGAGGCCUCCCACCGUUCACCUGGGCCCACACAUUCUCGGCUGCUCCCCCAGGCCCAAGCCCUGGGAGGGAGGGGCGCAGGGCCUCCACAGUGAGGAAGAGCCGCUCCCACACCUCACUGCCAACAGCAGCCAGAGCCUGUCCUUUGGCCCAGCACCCUGGCUGGAAGACAGGGGCAGGAAAGCCCCACCCCAGACCUGUCCCCACACCCAUGAGCCCACGCUGCAGUGGGUUCUCAGAGGGGCAGGAGGGCUCUCCUCACAAACCACCCAGCCCACUGCCCCAAUACACAC
rnacentral:lncRNA from 1 species